AUGAAUUCAAGGAAGCUGGAUGUCAUGGUAACCCCAAGCAACAAACAUGAACCGAACACUCUACAGCUCCUAGAUCUGCUAUCCGGAAUCAGGCACUGAGGAUUACCAAGCCCUGUUCUGAGUGAUGCUAGGAAUGGAAGAAGACGAGUGAAGUAAACAAAUGGAAUGUUUUAAUUAUGUGGCUCUGAUUGGGAUUGAGGGAGAUGGAAAUGAGGAGAGCAAUGGAGCUGCAGUCACCAGUGCCGGAAGCCCACCCUUUAGCUAAGGCCACAGACUGCAUGUUUCAACAAUAGACAGUUAUUCGGUCAAAUGAUGUCCACAAACGCUGGAAAAUCUCAUCCAAAUGCAGCUUUCUGACAUUUGAUUCACUUAAUA
ensembl:lncRNA